rnacentral:rRNA from 1 species
UACGAAGGGGGCUAGCGUUGCUCGGAAUCACUGGGCGUAAAGCGCACGUAGGCGGAUUUCUAAGUCAGGGGUGAAAUCCUGGAGCUCAACUCCAGAACUGCCUUUGAUACUGGGAGUCUCGAGUCCGGGAGAGGUGAGUGGAACUGCGAGUGUAGAGGUGAAAUUCGUAGAUAUUCGCAAGAACACCAGUGGCGAAGGCGGCUCACUGGCCCGGUACUGACGCUGAGGAGCGAAAGCGUGGGGAGCGAACAGG